rnacentral:lncRNA from 1 species
CUGGGCAGGCCUUUCAAGGUGCCAGGGUCUCCAUCUGCCUUGGAACUCAGAAAGCAGCCUUCACCUUGUUUGUUUCAGUAGCUCCAUAUUGUCAAUCUCCUUGACUGACUUUCCCAAGUCACAUCUGGCAGGCUCUGUGACCAGGACUGAUGUCUGUGAGGCUUCAGGCAUUUGGCUGGACAAGCAGAAACCUUCAGCGAAUAUCCUCAGUCAGUCCCUGGGCAGAGGACUGACUGGCCCCUGAGGACUGGAACCUGGAGUGGGCACAGGGCAUCAUACACUUUGUCUGCCAUCAUCUUCUGUUGGAAGGAAAACCCUGGCCUAGGAAGGAUUUGGAAGGUGGGAGAAAGACUUAGGGGAGAGAAGGAAAAGAACCAACUGCCUGCAGUCUGGAUGAUCCUGCUUCUGUGCUUGCCAGCCUUGCUUGCAGCUUCUAUUGGGCACAGAGGGAGCUGGGCUAGCAGGCAGCCACUCUCAAAGAUGGCUGGCUGCAUCUGUGUGCGGUGCCUCUCAGCCAAGCGGACUCCUCUCAACUGCGUGCCGGCAGCAAAAACUCCAGAUCUCUGGUCGCUCCAAAGGCUGUUCUAGAAAAACCUCUGGUCUGGAGGACCAAGGCCUAACUAAAGGUAGGGGAGGCCACUCCUGCUGUCCAACCCAAGGUCUCUUCCCUGCCCCUGCCCUUCAUUAAAUUACCAAAUAAAGUCUGAAGUGCAGA